rnacentral:rRNA from 1 species
GGGGAAUAUUGCGCAAUGGGCGAAAGCCUGACGCAGCAACGCCGCGUGCGGGAUGAAGGCCUUCGGGUUGUAAACCGCUUUCAGCAGGGAAGAAGCGAAAGUGACGGUACCUGCAGAAGAAGCACCGGCUAACUACGUGCCAGCAGCCGCGGUAAUACGUAGGGUGCAAGCGUUGUCCGGAUUUAUUGGGCGUAAAGAGCUCGUAGGCGGUUAGUCGCGUCGGAUGUGAAAACCCAGUGCUUAACACUGGGCCUGCAUUCGAUACGGGCUGACUAGAGUGUUGUAGGGGAGACUGGAACUCCUGGUGUAGCGGUGAAAUGCGCAGAUAUCAGGAAGAACACCGGUGGCGAAGGCGGGUCUCUGGGCAACUACUGACGCUGAGGAGCGAAAGCGUGGGGAGCAAACAGG